ensembl:lncRNA novel transcript
AUUGCAAACUCAAGUAGGCAGUUAUGUAGCCCCCGCCCAAAUUAGUGAACCCAAAACAAAACCCACAAGAUCUCAUCAACAGUUUUUACCUCACAGCUGACACUUAUAAAGGAGUUCCAAGUGCUUCCGCCAACUCCUCCUACCAGCAACUGUGAAAACAACGGCCACAAGGAGUAAUGCUGCUUUUCACACAGAAAGGGCUUCUACUGUGCCUGACCUUAAGACAGGAAAAGUAGGGGAGCUAAGGAAGCUACCUACACCGCCCUCACCCCCAGUAGCCAGGCUCAGGAAGGAAGAGGCACAGCGGUGUGAAUGGAUGGAGAAGAGGAGGCCGGUAGGCUGAGCCCCUGGCUCCUGGAACGAACACACAGCCAUGGCAGAGGAGAAUGUGGCUUGAAUAGGUUCCAUGACUUGUACAAGACCACAGCUGGUACAUGAUGAAGCAAGGACAAGACACGGGCAUCUGACCUCAAGAGUCUCUCCAAUCAUGAAAUACCUCUUUAAAUGCAUUAAUUGCAAAAUUCUAUCCUGGAUUAUCAACUGGAUCUUCAGCAAACACAUGGUGGUGUGUAGAGAUGUUCUUUGAAGAUUUAAUUCAUCACUGUUAAUAAAAAUGUUUAACCUUUA